CUCAACCAGACCUGAAUAUGAAGCGUUACAUAAGGCCUGGUGGAGAAGGGAAAAAUCACCUAAUCCACUGUCGCUUUCGACAAAAACACCACAAUAGUAUAUUUUCCAGAACAGCAGGCCAAACUUCACACAUGUGUGGGCCCGAGGACCAUAUCCUGUUGUGGAGGGUCUGGGAGAGGCCUGGAGCUGCCAGUCUGCAGCAGACCACAGCCUCCCACUCCUCACCCAUCGAAUCACUGUUUACUCAGACUGGAAGGCAACAACAUCAUCUGUUUCUUCUGCUCCGUGUCUG